rnacentral:rRNA from 1 species
CUAAGAAUAUUCCGCAAUGGGCGAAAGCCUGACGGAGCGACGCCGCGUGUGCGAAGAAGGCCGAAAGGUUGUAAAGCACUUUUGCGGGCGAAGAAUAAGGGGGGCAGGGAAUGGCCCCGCGAUGACGCUAGCCCGCGAACAAGCCCCGGCUAAUUACGUGCCAGCAGCCGCGGUAACACGUAAGGGGCGAGCGUUGUUCGGAAUUAUUGGGCGUAAAGGGCGCGUAGGCGGUUGCGCAAGUCUGGCGUGAAAGGCAAGGGCUCAACCCUUGGACUGCGUUAGAAACUGCGGGACUAGAGUCAUGGAGGGGGAGUUGGAAUUCCUGGUGUAGGGGUGAAAUCUGUAGAUAUCAGGAAGAACACCGGUGGCGAAGGCGAACUUCUAGCCAGUGACUGACGCUGAGGCGCGAAAGUGCGGGGAGCAAACAGGAUUAGAUACCCUGGUAGUCCGCACCAUAAACGAUGUGCACUAGGUGUCGGGGCGAGCGUCUCGGUGCCGGAGCGAACGCGAUAAGUGACUACCGCCU